rnacentral:lncRNA from 1 species
GGCUUUUUUUCGGUAAAGUGGUUCAUCAGUUUGCUAUCUAAUGAAUAACUUCUCUUUAUUUUCCUUGGUUCUUACAGAUGAGACGAAACCUUCAGCUGUAGACAGCCUAUCAUCAUCAGAAGAAACAGAGCUGAGUGAAGAUAAAGACUCCCUGAAAGACUCCAAAGGCACACAGGAGAAUGACCCAGUGCAUCCUGUGGGAUGUAAGGAAGAUCAAGCCGAAGGACAACAGCAUGUUUCUGCAGAGGAGGAGGAGAUGAAAACUGGGGCAGAUUCCCAAAGCUCUUGCAUGGAAAUAGAAGAGCCAUUGUUGAACCAAGAAGGCACAACAGAAGUUGAGAUACCUUUGAUUCAUGGUGCAGAAGAAGAAGAAGAAGAAGAAGCAGCAGGAAAAGAAGAAGAAGGAGGUGAGGUUACUUUUAAAACAGAUUGAGACAGAGAAUGCUGCUGGGCUC